rnacentral:rRNA from 1 species
CCUACGGGAGGCAGCAGUGAGGAAUAUUGGUCAAUGGACGCAAGUCUGAACCAGCCAUGCCGCGUGCAGGAUGACGGCUCUAUGAGUUGUAAACUGCUUUUGUACGAGGGUAAUAUCAGAUACGUGUAUCUGCUUGAAAGUAUCGUACGAAUAAGGAUCGGCUAACUCCGUGCCAGCAGCCGCGGUAAUACGGAGGAUCCAAUCGUUAUCCGGAUUUAUUGGGUUUAAAGGGUGAGUAAGCGGUGUUAUAAGUCAGAGGUGAAAAUUCGUGGCUCAAAUCCGGACGUGCAUCUAGUACUGUAUGACUAGAGUAUAGAUGAGGUAGGCGGAAUGUAUGGUGUAGCGGGGAAAUGCGUAGAGAUCAUACAGAACACCGAUUGCGAAGGCAGCUUACCAAACUAUAUCUGACGUUGAGGCACGAAAGCGUGGGGAGCAAACAGGAUUAGAGACCCUAGUAGUC